GACGAACGCUGGCGGCGUGCUUAACACAUGCAAGUCGAACGAAGAGCGAUGGAAGCUUGCUUCUUUCAAUUUGCGUCGCGAGCGGGUGAGUAACGCGUAAUCAACCUGCCCUUCAGUGGGAGACAACAGUUAGAAACGACUGCUAAUACCGCAAACGUUUCAAUCUCGGCAUCGGGACUGGAUGAACGGUGGUCUCGAUUUAUAUGGUAGCACUGAAGCAGGGGAUUGCGGCUGAUUAGGUAGCUGGAGGGGUAACGGCCCAACAAGGCGAGGAUCAGUAGCCGGACCGAGAGGAUGAAUGGCCACAUUGGGACUGGGAACAGGCCCAGACCCCUUCGGGAAGGCGCAAGUGGGAAACUUCCGGCAUAGGCGGAAAGCUGGACGAGCAACGCCGCGGUGGGGAUGACGGCCUUCGGGUUGUAAAGCUCUGUUUAUUGGGACGAAAGGUUCUUGUGCGAAUAGGGCGAGGAUUUGACGGUACCGGAUUAGAAAGCCACGGCUAACUACGUG
rnacentral:rRNA from 1 species